rnacentral:piRNA from 1 species
UGAAUCUCAAAAAAACCAGCCUGCCAA